rnacentral:rRNA from 1 species
ACGAACGCUGGCGGCGUGCUUCACCCAUGCCAGUCGAACGGAAAGGCCCUGCUUUUGUGGGGUGCUCGAGUGGCGAACGGGUGAGUAACACGUGAGUAACCUGCCCUUGACUUUGGGAUAACUUCAGGAAACUGGGGCUAAUACCGGAUAGGAGCUCCUGCUGCAUGGUGGGGGUUGGAAAGUUUCGGCGGUUGGGGAUGGACUCGCGGCUUAUCAGCUUGUUGGUGGGGUAGUGGCUUACCAAGGCUUUGACGGGUAGCAGGCCUGGGAGGGUGACCGGCCACAUUGGGACUGAGAUGCGGCCCAGACUCCUACGGGAGGCAGCAGUGGGGAAUAUUGCACAAUGGGCGGAAGCCUGAUGCAGCAACGCCGCGUGCGGGAUGACGGCCUUCGGGUUGUAAACCGUUUUCGCCUGUGACGAAGCGUGAGUGACGGUAAUGGGUAAAGAAGCACCGGCUAACUACGUG